rnacentral:piRNA from 1 species
UUUGCUUGGAAUCGUCACUUU